rnacentral:rRNA from 1 species
CCAUCCGCCAGAGAAUUACACGAGAAAAUCCUAAAACUCAAAGGACUUGACGGUGGCCUACAUCAGCCUAGAGGAGCCUGUCUUUUAAUCGAUAAUCCACGUUAUACCUCACCCACCCCUCACAAUCACAAGCCUGUAUACCUCCGUCGCCAGCCUACUUAGUGAUAAAAUAAAAGUUGGCAAAAAAGUAAAACCCACUAGCACGUCAGGUCAAGGUGCAGCUAAUGAGGUGGACAACGAUGGGCUACAUUUUCUAUCCACCAGACCACGCCGUAAGCUCCAUGAAACCUAAGAUGAAAGUUGGAUUUAGCAGUAAGCACAGGCAAGACAUGCCUGACUGAAGCUUGCUCCAGGCCGCGUACACACCGC